CUUGGUCAUUUAGAGGAAGUAAAAGUCGUAACCAAGGUUUCCGUAGGUGACCCUGCGGGAAGGAUCAUUAACGAGUAAACAGGGAGUUGUAGCUGGUCCUUCAAGGGACAUGUGCACGCUCUCUUCACUCAAUUCAACCUUACACCUGGUGCACUUAUUGUAGGUUGGGGUGGCUCGAUGCCGCCCUUCCUAUGUUUUACCACAUGUACGCUUGUUAGUCUCAGAAUGUCAUCUGCGUGUAACGCAUUUUUUUGAAAACAACUUUCAACAACGGAUCUCUUGGCUCUCGCAUCGAUGAAGAACGCAGCGAAAUGCGAUAAGUAAUGUGAAUUGCAGAAUUCAGUGAAUCAUCGAAUCUUUGAACGCACCUUGCGCUCCUUGGUAUUCCGAGGAGCAUGCCUGUUUGAGUGUCAUGAACCUCUCAACUCACCCAGUUUUUAUUGACUGUGGUGGGCUUGGAUUUGGAGGCUUGCUGGCCGUAAGGUCGGCUCCUCUCUAAACGCAUUAGCUGAACCCGUUGCGGAACAGUGGCUCGGUGUGAUAAUUGUCUACGCCGUCUCUGGGAAGCGUCUUGGUCGAUCGGCUUACAAUCUGUCCUCGGACAAUUCUUGACAGUUUGACCUCAAAUCAGGUAGGAUUACCCGCUGAACUUAAGCAUAUCAAUAAGCGGAGGAAAAGAAACUAACAAGGAUUCCCCUAGUAACUGCGAGUGAAGCGGGAAGAGCUCAAAUUUAAAAUCUGGCGGUCUUUUGGCUGUCCGAGUUGUAUCGGGAAGAAGUGCUUUCCGCGCCUGGACCGUGUACAAGUCUCCUG
rnacentral:rRNA from 1 species